GGCUGUGAUGUGGGAGGGGCUUAACAGGGAUGUGGCUGGGGCAUGGGAGGGGCUUAACGGGGAUGUGGCUGGGAUGUGGGAGGGGCUUGGUCCAUCCAGCCCCAUUCUACUGUAUGUUAGACUCCAGGUGUUUUUAACCAGUCAAUAACCAGUCAACACACGGUGGUCUCAUUUGUUCUCUAUAUGGAAAAGAGAAAGGGUCUGAUUGUGAAAGUGGGAGAUUGUUGUCCUCCUCCAAAUACUGUACUCUACUUGUGUGAAGGGUGGUUCUGUGUAAAAAAAGAGGGAAAAAAAGUGUAUUCAUUUGAAGUGAUGUUUUUCUUGUACAGUACCUCCCUUCCGCCCAGUCACGUGACUUAGUGCUUACGUCCCAAACAACACCUUAUUCCCUAUACAGUGCACUACCUUUGAGCAAAAGUAGAGUCCUAUGGGCCCUGUUCAAAUUAGUGCACUGUAUAGGAAAUAGGUCGUUUUUUGGGGGACCGAUCCAAGAUGUACAGAGCAAUUUACAACACUAUACUGUAUUAGUAUGUAGUCAUUUGAAUGUUUUCUUUUGUUGUUCUAAUGUGAUCUUUUGGUAGUUUCAUUUUGAAUAUACUGUAGUCUCAAGGACCAAGAGUUUGUUAGUUUAAAGAUGUUCCAUUUUUAUGGUGUUGGUUGGUUGACGUUGUUUCUGCUCCUGUGCACUAAGGUGAAACCUGGAUAUCUUUGCUCUCUCUCUUUCUCUCUGUCGCCUGUUUAUCUGCUUCUAUCAGCUGUUCAUUUAACCAGCAGAAUGUCCGUUAUAGGUAGAAGACUGCUGGUAAGGCAGAGCGGUAAAGUAAAAUAGAAUCGGACUAAUUCAAAUACAAUUACUAGAACAGACAUUUCAAGUCGACCGUAUUCUAUGUGUAUGAUCAGACCUGCUGCCCUCGUCUCUAAACUGAAAGGUGAUCAGACCUGCUGCCCUCGUCUCUAAACUGAAAGGUGAUCUGACCUGCUGCCCUCGUCUCUAAACUGAAAGGUGAUCUGACCUGCUGCCCUCGUCUCUAAACUGAAAGGUGAUCUGACCUGCUGCCCUCGUCUCUAAACUGAAAGGUGGUCUGACCUGCUGCCCUCGUCUCUAAACUGAAAGGUGAUCAGACCUGCUGCCUCAUGGUGAAGCCAUUGUCCAGCUGACAGACUGGUAUAAUGUGUGGAUUAGCGUCUAUAUAUAUAUAUUCUGUCUGUUCUUAAUGCUGGGUCAGAACACUGAGGGAGGUCAUAGGUCCGCUUUUCAGUCUGUCCAAUGGGCAUAGAGAACACAUACUGUACAUGAUAGAGAUGCCUCAUCCGCUAACGUGAUAUUGAGAGUGAGCUUACAAUAUGAAGCGCUGUCGGGAAUAGACAUUUUACAGGGAUGAUAACCUUUUUAAUUCAGCAAGUUUCUGUCAAGAGGUUUGACUUGAAGGUCACUUCCACUCCAAAACGAUCAUUUUUGGGGCGUUUGUUUCAUUAGUCCACUGUUGUUACAAUCCCCCAAAUUUUUUUUCAAGAUAUAGAACUUUGAAAACGCUAAUUGUCACUUGCCACACCAUCAAUAUAUUUAUACUGUAGGCCUACUGUAUAAUUACACUGAAAUAUUUAGUAUUUAUGGUCAAGUUUAACAUGAACAUUGUGUAGGCUAAUCAAAUGUUAUUUGUCACAUGCUUAAUAAAUAACAGGGGUAGAUUAAAGUAAGCAUUUCACUGUUAGUCCAUACCUGUUGUUUACAAAGCAUGUGACAAAUAACUUUGAGAUUUGAAUCCUACAGCCAUCUGGUUACAGGUUCUCUCCUUUUGUAUGUUCACGGUUGGGCAUAAUGUCAACAUGGUGAUGUACUUUCGAUGUGACCAGCAGAGCAAUGCCAGUGUUAGUCAGCAACGUCUUUAUUGGUGGCAUGGCACACUUUUAUACACACCAUAUCUAUCUUUAGUCUUGCCUUAUAAACUUUUCAAAGAACAGUCACCGACCAACAUACAAUUCACUUGAUGCUUGUACAUGUAAAUAAAGUAGCCGUAUACUGUA